AUUGAACGCUGGCGGCAUGCCUUACACAUGCAAGUCGAACGGCAGCACGGGAGCAAUCCUGGUGGCGAGUGGCGAACGGGUGAGUAAUAUAUCGGAACGUGCCCGGUCGUGGGGGAUAACGUAGCGAAAGCUACGCUAAUACCGCAUACGAUCUACGGAUGAAAGCGGGGGAUCGCAAGACCUCGCGCGAUUGGAGCGGCCGAUAUCAGAUUAGGUAGUUGGUGAGGUAAAGGCUCACCAAGCCGACGAUCUGUAGCUGGUCUGAGAGGACGACCAGCCACACUGGGACUGAGACACGGCCCAGACUCCUACGGGAGGCAGCAGUGGGGAAUUUUGGACAAAUGGGCGCAAGCCUGAUCCAGCAAUGCCGCCGUGCAGGAUGAAGG
rnacentral:rRNA from 1 species